AGCGGUGUGGCACAGUGGUAAGGAGUGGCGCUCGUAACCGAAAGGUUGCGGGUUCAAUUCCCCCACUGGGA